rnacentral:rRNA from 1 species
GCCAGCAGCCAUAUCAGCCUGCAACUCACAAAUGGCAACCUACUGAAGCUAAGAAGGUGUGAACCUGGUCAGAACCUAGAUGGGAGACCUCCUGGGAAAAACUAAGGUUGAUGCUGGAA